rnacentral:rRNA from 1 species
GACGAACGCUGGCGGCGUGCCUAAUACAUGCAAGUAGAACGCUGAAGGAGGAGCUUGCUUCUCUGGAUGAGUUGCGAACGGGUGAGUAACGCGUAGGUAACCUGCCUGGUAGCGGGGGAUAACUAUUGGAAACGAUAGCCAAUACCGCAUAAGAGUAGAUGUUGCAUGACAUUUGCUUAAAAGGUGCAAUUGCAUCACUACCAGAUGGACCUGCGUUGUAUUAGCUAGUUGGUGAGGUAACGGCUCACCAAGGCGACGAUACAUAGCCGACCUGAGAGGGUGAUCGGCCACACUGGGACUGAGACACGGCCCAGACUCCUACGGGAGGCAGCAGGAGGGAAUCUUCGGCAAUGGACGGAAGUCUGACCGAGCAACGCCGCGGGAGGGAAGAAGGGUUUCGGAUCGUAAAGCUCGGUUGUAAGAGAAGAACGAGUGUGAGAGUGGAAAGUUCACACUGUGACGGUAUCUUAACAGAAAGGGACGGCUAACUACGUG